AGAGUUUGAUCAUGGCUCAGGACGUACGCUGGCGGCGUAGCUUAACACAUGCAAGUCGAACGGUGACCCAGGGCUUGCCCUGGUGAUCAGUGGCGAACGGGUGAGUAACACGUGGGCAACCUGCCCUGACUUCGGGAUAACUCCUCCGAAAGAGGAGCUAAUACCGGAUACGACCACUUCGGACAUCCGAUGGUGGUGGAAAGUUUUUCGGUCAGGGACUGGGCCCGCGGCCUAUCAGCUAGUUGGUGGGGUAAUGGCCUACCAAGGCGACGUUACGGGUAGCCGGCCUGAGAGGGCGACCGGCCACACUGGGACUGAGACACGGCCCAGACUCCUACGGGAGGCAGCAGUGGGGAAUAUUGCGCAAUGGCGAAAGCCUGACGCAGCGACGCCGCGUGAGGGAUGAAGGCCUUCGGGUUGUAAACCUCUUUCAGCAGGGACGAAGCGAAAGUGACGGUACCUGCAGAAGAAGCACCGGCUAACUACGUG
rnacentral:rRNA from 1 species